rnacentral:rRNA from 1 species
GACGGACGCUGGCGGCGUGCUUAACACAUGCAAGUCGAACGAUGAAGCCCAGCUUGCUGGGUGGAAGAAUGGCGAACGGGUGAGUAACACGUGAGUAACCUGCCUAUCACUCUGGGAUAAGCGCUGGAAACGGCGUCUAAUACUGGAUACGACCUAUCACCGCAUGGUGUGUGGGUGGAAAGAUUUAUCGGUGGUAGAUGGACUCGCGGCCUAUCAGCUUGUUGGUGAGGUAAUGGCUCACCAAGGCGACGACGGGUAGCCGGCCUGAGAGGGUGACCGGCCACACUGGGACUGAGACACGGCCCAGACUCCUACGGGAGGCAGCAGUGGGGAAUAUUGCACAAUGGGCGCAAGCCUGAUGCAGCAACGCCGCGUGAGGGACGACGGCCUUCGGGUUGUAAACCUCUUUUAGUAGGGAAGAAGCGUAAGUGACGGUACCUGCAGAAAAAGCACCGGCUAACUACGUGCCAGCCGCCGCAGUAA